AACGAACGCUGGCGGCAUGCCUAACACAUGCAAGUCGAACGAGACCUUCGGGUCUAGUGGCGCACGGGUGCGUAACGCGUGGGAACCUGCCCUUACGUUCGGAAUAACUCCCCGAAAGGGGUGCUAAUACCGGAUAAUGUCUUCGGACCAAAGAUUUAUCGCCUUUGGAUGGGCCCGCGUUGGAUUAGCUAGUUGGUAGGGUAAAAGCCUACCAAGGCGACGAUCCAUAGCUGGUCUGAGAGGAUGAUCAGCCACACUGGGACUGAGACACGGCCCAGACUCCUACGGGAGGCAGCAGUGGGGAAUAUUGGACAAUGGGCGAAAGCAUGAUCCAGCAAUGCCGCGUGAGUGAUGAAGGCCUUAGGGUUGUAAAGCUCUUUUACCCGGAAUGAUAAUGACAGUACCGGGAGAAUAAGCUCCGGCUAACUCCGUG
rnacentral:rRNA from 1 species